CUCAUACUCCCUCCGUCCGAAAAAGCUUGUCCCUCAAAUGGAUGUAUCUAGCACCAAGUUAGUGCUAGAUACAUCCAUUUGAGGGACAAGUUUGGGACAAGCUUUUUCGGACAGAGGGAGUAGUUU
rnacentral:pre_miRNA from 1 species